rnacentral:rRNA from 1 species
GUAAGGAAUAUUGGACAAUGGACGCAAGUCUGAUCCAGCCAUGCCGCGUGAAGGAUUAAGGUCCUCUGGAUUGUAAACUUCUUUUAUAAGGGACGAAAAAAGGCUUUUCUAAGUCGUCUGACGGUACCUUAUGAAUAAGCACCGGCUAACUCCGUGCCAGCAGCCGCGGUAAUACGGAGGGUGCAAGCGUUAUCCGGAUUCACUGGGUUUAAAUGGUGCGUAGGCGGGCAGGUAAGUCAGUGGUGAAAUCCUAGAGCUUAACUCUAGAACUGCCAUUGAUACUAUCUGUCUUGAAUAUUGUGGAGGUAAGCGGAAUAUGUCAUGUAGCGGUGAAAUGCUUAGAUAUGACAUAGAACACCUAUUGCGAAGGCAGCUUACUACGCAUAUAUUGACGCUGAGGCACGAAAGCGUGGGGAUCAAACAGGAUUAGAUACCCUUGUAGUCC